GUACAAGUUAAGUAUAGCAUCUAGCUUAGGUAGAAAUUUGAAACAAAGUGAACGGUUGGAUCAACAUAUAUGAAUUUCCAAAGUCUGAUGUAAAAAAGUCUUUGGCGGAAAGAAAUAUAUUUUGAAGAAUUUUAAUAUAUUUUGAGUUUUUAUACAAAACAAAGAGCUUUUUUUUUGGGAGCUAAGGCAUUAUAUACAAAGGAAACCUAAAAUCUCUACAGCUAGAUACCCGGUGUAUUCUUAGAUUGAAAAACACGUCACACGACACCGCUUUAUACUCACGACCUCGUAUCCAGUGACUGGCUCGUUAGAUUAACCCAAUAAAUUUUAUUCACUCUGCAUACUCAAUUCUAUAGACACCCUUUUAAUUCUUCAUCACAGACGUAACUCGAUUUCACAAAACAGUCAAGAAUAAUCACACCCACUUCAUUAAAAUUUCGAUUCACUAAUACAACACUGACUUCAGCAACGAUUGCCUCAGUCUUCCCAAAACCCUAUGAAGAAAAAAAAAACCCAAUUCUCUGUCUUUUUUCUCUGCCCCGAAGCAUGAAGUU
rnacentral:lncRNA from 1 species